rnacentral:rRNA from 1 species
UACAGAGGGGGCCAGCGUUAUUCGGAAUUAUUGGGCGUAAAGGGCGCGUAGGCGGCCAUGCGUGUCUUCCGUGAAAUCCCUCAGCUUAACUGGGGAACUGCGUCCGAUACUGGAUGGCUUGGAUUUGGGAGAGGGAUGCGGAAUUCCAGGUGUAGCGGUGAAAUGCGUAGAUAUCUGGAGGAACACCGGUGGCGAAGGCGGCAUCCUGGACCAAUAUUGACGCUGAGGAGCGAAAGCUAGGGGAGCAAACGGG